GCUCUAUUGCCGAUCCGAAGAGUGAUCUCGCCUUCUCUCAGCUCUCUCACUUCUUCAAGAUCCUGCACAGAAGUACACAAAUGAGCACUUGAUCUAGAAUCUAGAACCCAACUAGAAGAAAAAGAAACCAUUAGAUUAGUUUCAAUAACGAGCAUAUCAGACGUAUCUUCAGAAGGUCCAUCCUUCUCCUGCUCUUAACAGUCGUCAGGU
rnacentral:lncRNA from 1 species